AAGCGUUUGCGUUUUUCGCGAUGCAUGGCUCCAAGGCAGUCUAAUGCAAGGUUACGCAAACUGCCAGGAGACGGAACCAAAGCAUAUUGCUGCUAUUGUAGAUCUACAAUUUCAGCAAGUUAUCGAAAUAAGGCAGCAUCCCUUCAACCAUUUUCUAUCGCGGAAGACACUUCUAAGUGACUUCUAGAAGAUGAAAACUAUCGUCCGCGAUAUCGCAUUCGGAUCGCGGACACAUAAGUUUUUUAGAAAACUGGACUGACCACGAGCAAAUUGCGAAAUAAACUGACGCUCGGACGAAAAACAAACGUGUAGGUUAUAUCGCUAUGCCAUCACUACGGACGUGACUAAAAUGUACACGCAAAUACAUCUUGACAUUAUCAAUCACAAGUACCAGUACAUUAUUUGGAGAUCAUCCUUAAAAAACACUCUACGCACAUACCAACUUAACACGCAGUAAAAAUUAUCUUGGUGAUAUCCAUCGGGCUGACUGCACAGUUGUCAUUUUACGUUGAUGGCUACUUACGGUUGCAGACGACCUAGAGACGCUCCGCACUCAAAUAACGCUGGAUUGAAUAAGGAGCUCAGUUCGUAUGUUCACUCCAAGGAACCAGUCAACCAUCAUUACCGGAAAAAAACAAUUAUAUCUAUCGCAACGGCCUUCUUCGAACUUAUUGAUCUACCCUUGCCGCUUAUUGUCGUCGCAAAAAUACUCCUUCAAGAACUUUGGUUCGCUAACUUGUGCUGGGAUGAGAGCGUACCACAGAACAUAGAGCAAGUGUCUAGAGUCAAUCCAAAAAGUCUCAAUAUUGUCGAUACCUCGAUAAUGUUUUCGACACAAGCCUCGAUUACUUCAACUUUAUGGUUUUGUGCGAAUCAUCAAUCAGAGAUUACGGUUGCUGCCUGUAUCUACGCUCGGAGACACCGAAAGGAAAUAUUACAGUUCAUUUGCUGACUGGCAAAACCAGAGUAGUUUCUACUAAGAAGAAUUCUCUUCCGAAAUGGGAGUCGUGCGGAGCACAUUUGCUUGAACAACUGUAUACAAAGAUACAACUUCUUAACGAACAGAAAAUACAUAUUUUUGGACCGAUUCACUUUUUUUCCAUUGGCGUAAACAGCACUCAAUAACUCCGUCAGCAUUCGUCUGUAACCGCAUAGCAAGUAGACAUUUUUUCCCGGUUGACUACCACAACUGAACUCACAACCUCUGUAUGGUUCACAGAAAUACCCAACCGAUAUCCCAGUGGCCAAAGUCUCCAGAAACUAUCGAUAUAAGCAUAGAAGUCGUCAAGGCGGAGCAAAGAAGGAGCGCAUUCUGUGAAAUUAUAAUCAACAAACACGUUCUCCACCAUUUGAUCCGUAUUAGCUCUUACAUUGGGCUGGAGGACGACUCCAGUACGCCGACAUCCCUGAAUCUGAAUGGUACACCCUGCUACUGCCUAGCACUUACAUCUUCGGAAUUGCCAUGGAGGCCCGAAACCUCUAGUCGCGCCAAUCCGUCUGGAAUACUGGAUCGUCAAUGAUGG